GCAGUGAUGGUUCAGUGGCAGAAUUCUCACCUUCCAUGCAGGAGACCCAGAUUUGAUUUCUGGCCAGUGCA
rnacentral:tRNA from 1 species